AGUCGAGCGGUAGAGAGAAGCUUGCUUCUCUUGAGAGCGGCGGACGGGUGAGUAAUGCCAAGGAAUCUGCCUAGUGGUGGGGGAUAACGUUCGGAAACGGACGCUAAUACCGCAUACGUCCUACGGGAGAAAGCGGGGGAUCUUCGGACCUCGCGCCAUUAGAUGAGCCUAGGUCGGAUUAGCUAGUUGGUGAGGUAAUGGCUCACCAAGGCGACGAUCCGUAACUGGUCCGAGAGGAUGAUCAGUCACACUGGAACUGAGACACGGUCCAGACUCCUACGGGAGGCAGCAGUGGGGAAUAUUGGACAAUGGGCGAAAGCCUGAUCCAGCCAUGCCGCGUGUGUGAAGAAGGUCUUCGGAUUGUAAAGCACUUUAAGUUGGGAGGAAGGGCAGUAACCUAAUACGUUAUUGUUUUGACGUUACCGACAGAAUAAGCACCGGCUAACUUCGUGCCAGCAGCCGCGGUAAUACGAAGGGUGCAAGCGUUAAUCGGAAUUACUGGGCGUAAAGCGCGCGUAGGUGGUUCAGUAAGUUGGAAGUGAAAUCCCCGGGCUCAACCUGGGAACUGCUUUCAAAACUGCUGAGCUAGAGUACGGUAGAGGGUGGUGGAAUUUCCUGUGUAGCGGUGAAAUGCGUAGAUAUAGGAAGGAACACCAGUGGCGAAGGCGACCACCUGGACUGAUACUGACACUGAGGUGCGAAAGCGUGGGGAGCAAACAGGAUUAGAUACCCUGGUAGUCCACGCCGUANACGAUGUCAACUAGCCGUUGGGUUCCUUGAGAACUUAGUGGCGCAGCUAACGCAUUAAGUUGACCGCCUGGGGAGUACGGCC
rnacentral:rRNA from 1 species